rnacentral:tRNA from 1 species
GGGGGAAUCUGAUAAUUGGUUAAUCAAUUGUAGUUGCAUUACAAAAAUGAUAGUUCGAGUCUAUCUUUCUCCA